GUCGAGCGCGAAAGCCCCUUCGGGGGUGAGUAGAGCGGCGCAAGGGCGAGGAAUACGUUCCUACGUACCCCGAGGUCAGGGAUAGCCCAGGGAAACCUGGAUUAAUACCUGAUGUGGUCCUUCGGGAUCAAAGGCUUGCUGCCUCGGGAGCGGGGAACGUCCUAUCAGGUUGUUGGUGGGGUAACGGCUCACCAAGCCGAAGACGGGUAGCGGGUGUGAGAGCAUGACCCGCCGCAUCGGGACUGAGACACUGCCCGGACUCCUACGGGAGGCUGCAGUAACGAAUCUUCCGCAAUGCGCGAAAGCGUGACGGAGCAAUGCCGCGUGCAGGAUGAAGCCCCUCGGGGUGUAAACUGCUGUCAGGGUUUAGGAACACAAUGACCAGACCCAAAGGAAGGGCCGGCUAACUUCGUGCCAGCAGCCGCGGUAAUACGAAGGGCCCGAGCGUUACUCGGAAUCAUUGGGCUUAAAGCGUACGUAGGCGGGCGCGCAGGCACCUUGUGAAAUCCCUCGGCUCAACCGAGGAAUUGCUUGGUGAACCGCGUGCCUUGAGGCAAGUAGGGGCUGUCGGAACGAUAGGUGGAGCGGUGAAAUGCGUUGAUAUCUAUCGGAACGCCGAAGGAGAAAUCAGGCAGCUGGGCUUGUUCUGACGCUGAGGUACGAAAGCGUGGGGAGCGAACGGGAUUAGAUACCCCGGUAGUCCACGCCGUAAACGAUGUGCACUAGAUCGAGGGGGUUCUGACACCGCUCUCGGUCGAAGCAAAAGUGUUAAGUGCACCGCCUGGGGAGUACGGUCGCAAGGCUAAAACUCAAAGGAAUUGACGGGGGCUCACACAAGCGGUGGAGCAUGUGGCUUAAUUCGAAGCAACGCGAAGAACCUUAUCCUGGGUUUGA
rnacentral:rRNA from 1 species